ACCGAGUCUUAAUUGGGCGUUAAGUUGCAGGGUAUAGACCCGAAACCCGGUGAUCUAGCCAUGGGCAGGUUGAAGGUUGGGUAACACUAACUGGAGGACCGAACCGACUAAUGUUGAAAAAUUAGCGGAUGACCUGUGGCUGGGGGUGAAAGGCCAAUCAAACCGGGAGAUAGCUGGUUCUCCCCGAAAGCUAUUUAGGUAGCGCCUCGUGAACUCAUCUCCGGGGGUAGAGCACUGUUUCGGCUAGGGGGCCAUCCCGGCUUACCAACCCGAUGCAAACUGCGAAUACCGGAGAAUGUUAUCACGGGAGACACACGGCGGGUGCUAACGUCCGUCGUGAAGAGGGAAACAACCCAGACCGCCAGCUAAGGUCCCAAAGUCAUGGUUAAGUGGGAAACGAUGUGGGAAGGCCCAGACAGCCAGGAUGUUGGCUUAGAAGCAGCCAUCAUUUAAAGAAAGCGUAAUAGCUCACUGGUCGAGUCGGCCUGCGCGGAAGAUGUAACGGGGCUAAACCAUGCACCGAAGCUGCGGCAGCGACACUAUGUGUUGUUGGGUAGGGGAGCGUUCUGUAAGCCGUCGAAGGUGUGCUGUGAGGCAUGCUGGAGGUAUCAGAAGUGCGAAUGCUGACAUAAGUAACGAUAAAGCGGGUGAAAAGCCCGCUCGCCGGAAGACCAAGGGUUCCUGUCCAACGUUAAUCGGGGCAGGGUGAGUCGACCCCUAAGGCGAGGCCGAAAGGCGUAGUCGAUGGGAAACAGGUUAAUAUUCCUGUACUUGGUGUUACUGCGAAGGGGGGACGGAGAAGGCUAUGUUGGCCGGGCGACGGUUGUCCCGGUUUAAGCGUGUAGGCUGACUUUCCAGGCAAAUCCGGAAAGUUAAGGCUGAGGCGUGAUGACGAGGCACUACGGUGCUGAAGUGACAAAUGCCCUGCUUCCAGGAAAAGCCUCUAAGCAUCAGGUAACAUCAAAUCGUACCCCAAACCGACACAGGUGGUCAGGUAGAGAAUACCAAGGCGCUUGAGAGAACUCGGGUGAAGGAACUAGGCAAAAUGGUGCCGUAACUUCGGGAGAAGGCACGCUGACAUGUAGGUGAAGCCCCUGCGGGUGGAGCUGAAGUCAGUCGAAGAUACCAGCUGGCUGCAACUGUUUAUUAAAAACACAGCACUGUGCAAACACGAAAGUGGACGUAUACGGUGUGACGCCUGCCCGGUGCCGGAAGGUUAAUUGAUGGGGUUAUCGCAAGAGAAGCUCCUGAUCGAAGCCCCGGUAAACGGCGGCCGUAACUAUAACGGUCCUAAGGUAGCGAAAUUCCUUGUCGGGUAAGUUCCGACCUGCACGAAUGGCGUAAUGAUGGCCAGGCUGUCUCCACCCGAGACUCAGUGAAAUUGAACUCGCUGUGAAGAUGCAGUGUACCCGCGGCAAGACGGAAAGACCCCGUGAACCUUUACUACAGCUUGACACUGAACAUUGAGCCUUGAUGUGUAGGAUAGGUGGGAGGCUUUGAAGCGUGGACGCCAGUCUGCGUGGAGCCAACCUUGAAAUACCACCCUUUAAUGUUUGAUGUUCUAACCUGGCGCCGUGAUCCGGCGUGGGGACAGUGUCUGGUGGGUAGUUUGACUGGGGCGGUCUCCUCCCAAAGUGUAACGGAGGAGCACGAAGGUCAGCUAAUCCUGGUCGGACAUCAGGAGGUUAGUGCAAUGGCAUAAGCUGGCUUGACUGCGAGAGUGACGGCUCGAGCAGGUGCGAAAGCAGGUCAUAGUGAUCCGGUGGUUCUGUAUGGAAGGGCCAUCGCUCAACGGAUAAAAGGUACUCCGGGGAUAACAGGCUGAUACCGCCCAAGAGUUCAUAUCGACGGCGGUGUUUGGCACCUCGAUGUCGGCUCAUCACAUCCUGGGGCUGAAGUAGGUCCCAAGGGUAUGGCUGUUCGCCAUUUAAAGUGGUACGCGAGCUGGGUUUAGAACGUCGUGAGACAGUUCGGUCCCUAUCUGCCGUGGGCGCUGGAGAAUUGAGGGGGGCUGCUCCCAGUACGAGAGGACCGGAGUGGACGCAUCACUGGUGUUCGGGUUGUCAUGCCAAUGGCACUGCCCGGUAGCUAAAUGCGGAAGAGAUAAGUGCUGAAAGCAUCUAAGCACGAAACUUGCCCCGAGAUGAGUUCUCCCUGAGACUAUAAGUCUCCUGAAGGAACGUUGAAGACGACGACGUUGAUAGGCCGGGUGUGUAAGCGCAGCGAUGCGUUGAGCUAACCGGUACUAAUGAACCGUGAGGCUUAACCUU
rnacentral:rRNA from 1 species